CAGCCGCCGCGGGAAUACGGAGGGUGCAAGCGUUAUCCGGAUUUAUUGGGUUUAAAGGGUCCGUAGGCGGAUCUGUAAGUCAGUGGUGAAAUCUCACAGCUUAACUGUGAAACUGCCAUUGAUACUGCAGGUCUUGAGUAAAUUUGAAGUGGCUGGAAUAAGUAGUGUAGCGGUGAAAUGCAUAGAUAUUACUUAGAACACCAAUUGCGAAGGCAGGUCACUAAGAUUUAACUGACGCUGAUGGACGAAAGCGUGGGGAGCGAACAGGAUUAGAUACCCGUGUAGUCCCUGUCUCUUAUAU
rnacentral:rRNA from 1 species